GAUGAACGCUGGCGGCGUGCCUAAUAUAUGCAAGUCGAGCGAAUGGAUUAAGAGCUUGCUCUUAUGAAGUUAGCGGCGGACGGGUGAGUAACACGUGGGUAACCUGCCCAUAAGACUGGGAUAACUCCGGGAAACCGGGGCUAAUACCGGAUAACAUUUUGAACCGCAUGGUUCGAAAUUGAAAGGCGGCUUCGGCUGUCACUUAUGGAUGGACCCGGGUCGCAUUAGCUAGUUGGUGAGGUAACGGCUCACCAAGGCAACGAUGGGUAGCCGACCUGAGAGGGUGAUCGGCCACACUGGGACUGAGACACGGCCCAGACUCCUACGGGAGGCAGCAGUAGGGAAUCUUCCGCAAUGGACGAAAGUCUGACGGAGCAACGCCGCGUGAGUGAUGAAGGCUUUCGGGUCGUAAAACUCUGUUGUUAGGGAAGAACAAGUGCUAGUUGAAUAAGCUGGCACCUUGACGGUACCUAACCAGAAAGCCACGGCUAACUACGUGCCAGCCGCCGCCGUAA
rnacentral:rRNA from 1 species